GAGAAGAAAAGGGGUGGGAAGUGGUUGCCGCUUGCUGCAGCCAGCCUGAGCGAUGGUUAGGUGGUUAAUCAUGGUGGCUGAGAAAACAUCGGGUCACUUCUCCCCCCUUCCGCCUCCCGUGUAGCGUGGAAGGGUGGGCAGCGCGGCGGAGGCACCCGCCGUGCCACCGCCACCAGCCAAGGGGGGGGACCCGGAUCCCGCACCGCUCGCACGGACCCGCUGCCGGCGGCGGCGGCGACUCAGGAACCUGUGAAAAAAGCUUAUUGUUGUGGGGGAAGAGAAAACUAUUAUAGAAACACAGUGAGAUAAAGAAAUAUCAAAAGAAGUGAUGGAAUGGCCCAAGGGUAGGGAAUUUUGCUGAGGAUGUACCAGCAUUACGGCUUCCCAGACAGGAGCACUCAGGUGUAGCUAACAGCUGCACCACGGCAGCUGAACUGGGACCCCUUUGCUCUCCUGACAGAGCUGAUCAUGCUCCACCUCGGCACUCCAAAGACAGUGGAGUUUGCUCACACUCCACCAGGAUGAAGAAAGUAAGAGAUGUUAGGCAGAGGAAGAUACACGGGCAUGUUUCUACUCAGCCAUUUGCUGCUCUAUAGUAUGAAGUCACACUGGCUUACCUUGCAGUCUGCAAGAACCUCACUCUGAUGGAGUAUCUGUCUUGACUCCCACUGCUGGGACCUUUUCUUUAAUGGACAGUUCAGGUUUCCAGAGUUUCUUGAUUUCCCUUUGAGUGAUCC